UAAAAGGUUUUACUUGAAACCAUUAAAUUUUAAAAUGAGUUCUAAAU
rfam:Ailuropoda melanoleuca scaffold2058_25, whole genome shotgun sequence.